rnacentral:misc_RNA from 1 species
GGACCACUAUUUGGGUAUGCCCUUGAUAAACUCAUGAAUAAGAAAACAUACAGGUACAUCUUAGAUGGAGCAUGACGAAGAAUUUUAAGGUGGAAUACUUCUAACUUAUCUUUCAAAGGUAGAGUCACUCUCACUAACGUUUGUGGGUGACUCGACUUUUUUGGCCGCAGAAAUCAUCCUAGUUGAUCUUAAAUUGAAGCUCUUGAUAUG